UAUUUCUUCAUGCCAGGGUCGGGUCUCAGGAGAGCAAACAGAAUGCUGAUGCGUGCUUGGAAUUAGAGCCAGCCAGGAGGGGCGCGCUGGGGAGGCUCUUUCUGAGGCCUCAUCCAGCAGAUACUCCCGCCAGCCACUCCGAAUGCACUCCCACUCCGCAGCCGCAGCCAGCCAUCAACCGGUUGUGGCCACGCAAGGGCCAAGUUCUUUUGUUUGAGGUGUUCUCCCCUUUUCCCCUCAAAUCCUCUCCUUUCCAGGACCAUGAGCUUCCUGUUGCCAUUUUUCUAACCAACUGAAUUACAUGGGUAAUUGUGAACAAAGAUGGUUCCUGCUGGUCUCACCUUUGGAACAUACAAACUUAAGACCCUUGCAGAAGGUGAGGAGAAGGAGCGACAUGGCAGCUGGCCGGUGGCAGCAGGCUCCACUGACCACAUGGGAACCCUGAGCCUCUGGAACAGAUGCGUCGACGCCCAGCAUUCCCCUAGAGGACACAAGGGUCAUCUAGUGACUUGCCUAAUGGGGAGGCUUCUGAGGAAUGUCCCAGACGCCAGGCUUGAGAGAUUCAUUAGCUACAAAAAUGUCUAAACAAGAGAAACAUCAGCAAUGACAGCGGCUCAGAACAGUCCCAUCUCUUACUCCCUCGCACUGUCAAUUCAGGGCCGAAAGACUUAUUGUGGACCUACUGUGCGUCGGGACUGAAUUAAGUACCGGGGCAAAUGAUAAGAUUGUCAAUGAUACUGCC
rnacentral:lncRNA from 1 species